CACAGUAAUAUUUAAACAAUCAGGUUUAUUAUCUACUUAUUUUAGUUAAAUGCCAUUUUUUCCCUAGAGGAAGAAAAAUUUUAACCUUCAACAAUUGCAUUUGAAGUGAAUGGGCCUGUAAAAGAUACAUCAUCUCCUCUGAUUUGAUUCACCUUGCACAGAAGAUUCCUGCUCAUGAACUGUUAAUAUGACUUAGCCCAAUCAGAUCGGUUUCAUUUGUGUCCUACUUCAAAUCUUUAGGCUUUCCAUCUGUCAAAAACGCUUGGGCGGCUGAAUGAUAAAGUCUUGUUGCUAUGGUGAUUAGUUCCAUUACCUAGGUGACAGUGUUGGCAUUAUGUCACCACUAAAGCAACCUAACUCCCGAAAUAUUUUUAGUGUCUGUUGCAGAUGAACUACAGUAAAAACACCAUCUAUCAAUGACCCCAAAUACCCAAGGAUAUUUGAAGGUAAGGAAGGUGUAGGUUGGCCACUCUCUGCAUGACUUGAAGAAGGGCAAGUAAGGAGCAAAAUACUCAAGAGGACCAUCUGCACACAGCAACACUGCCAAAGAAAGACAGAGGAGGAGGAGGACACCUGUGGAAACUCUACAGAAGACAUACAAAUGAGUUAUGUUCAGAACAGAGAAUCGACUCAAUUCUGCAGUUCCAACCGCAUGCUGAAGUCCCUGAAGAGCCACUUCUAUAUCAGAUGAUUCAUUUUCUGCGGAUGAUAAGAUACCUGCCCAAUGGGAGAGUGUACCCACAGAGGAGUCAGCUACUACCUGCACUUCAUGCAUCACCUUUGAAACUGAGGAAUCUGCUAGUAUUGCUUCUGGAAUUUAUCAUCUGUAUUUGAAGAUGUAUUUGUACAACUAAGGAGCCUGUUUAGAUCAAGGAAUUCUCAAAAGUGUUUGGGGAAAUAUAGUUAUUGUUUCUAGAAGGAAGCGCACAAAACUGCAGCAUGUAAGUUACUUCAAGCAACUGAUAAUACACCACUGCUCAUACUACACUACCACAUAUAAAUGGAAUUGUGCGUUCUGUAAACUAGUGGGUAUUUUAUAACUGCUGACUCCUUUGCCCCUUCACAGCUCUUCCAGAGAACUAAAUUUAAAGACUUUUCACACUGAAAGGAUUACACAGGAAAAGACACAGAUAAUAACAAAGCUGCU
rnacentral:lncRNA from 1 species